rnacentral:rRNA from 1 species
UACGUAGGGUGCAAGCGUUAAUCGGAAUUACUGGGCGUAAAGCGUGCGCAGGCGGUUCUAUAAGACAGAUGUGAAAUCCCCGGGCUCAACCUGGGAACUGCAUUUGUGACUGUAGAGCUGGAGUGCGGCAGAGGGGGAUGGAAUUCCGCGUGUAGCAGUGAAAUGCGUAGAUAUUUGGAGGAACACCAAUGGCGAAGGCAGCCCCCUGGGUUAACACUGACGCUCAUGCACGAAAGCGUGGGGAGCAAACAGG